UACGGGGGGGGCAAGCGUUGUUCGGAAUUAUUGGGCGUAAAGAGCUCGUAGGCGGCUCAUUGCGUCAACCGUGAAAACCAGCAGCUCAACUGUUGGCUUGCGGUUGAUACGGGUGGGCUGGAGUUCGGUAGGGGAGACUGGAAUUCCUGGUGUAGCGGUGAAAUGCGCAGAUAUCAGGAGGAACACCGGUGGCGAAGGCGGGUCUCUGGGCCGAUACUGACGCUGAGGAGCGAAAGCGUGGGGAGCGAACAGG
rnacentral:rRNA from 1 species